rnacentral:lncRNA from 1 species
CUGGAGUGGAUGGCCAUUCCCUUCUCCAGGGAGUCUUCCUGACCUCAGGAUUGAACCAUGUUUCCCACAUUGCAGACAGAUUCUUUCCAUCUGAGCCAGCAGGGAAGCCUGCAAACAUCCUGAAUGAAAGGGGCAUCACAAUUGAAUCUGUUAGGAUACCUUGGGUAGCAAGAUACAGAAAAUCAAGUAAAUUGACUCUAAGAAAAUAAGGAAACUAACUGAUUCAUAUGACCAAAAAAAUCAAAUUCUAUCAUGCACUUCUUAUCUUUAGGGACCUGGGAGCUUCACGGGAUUAGAGCCAAAUGCGUGCAUAUCUCAGUGGAGACUUUACACUGCAAAUCCCUUCUGCUACUGGAAGGACUCAAAGAUUAUAAUCUUCCUUUAUUGCUGCCUCCCCCUAAGUAUUUAAUAUAUAACCCAGUGAUCAGAAAGGUUGCUAAUGAAAUAUGGCAGAAGCUGCCUCGGGCCUGCUUCUCAUCUGGAACAUGCUGGAUUGCAGCCUCUUAUUUAUCCUGAUGAAUUGACAGUGGGACUCUAGAGACUUAGUUCAAUUUCCUGCCUUAGACAGGCACUGUGAAUAUUAACCCCACCCUGAAAUAUUUUCCCCUAAAGAUGGUACACGUUAUGGCUUUCUAGGAUAAACAUAGCAUUCUCCCACCUAUUCAGGUGUUUGUGUUUGUUUUUAAUUUUGCAAUAAAG